rnacentral:rRNA from 1 species
GACGAACGCUGGCGGCGUGCUUAACACAUGCAAGUCGAACGGUGAAGCGCCUUCCUUUUUGGUGGGUGUGGAUGAGUGGCGAACGGGUGAGUAACACGUGAGUAACCUGCCCCCUUCUUCUGGAUAACCGCAUGAAAGUGUGGCUAAUACGGGAUAUUCUGGGUCUGUCGCAUGAUGGGUCUGGGAAAGAUAUUGUUUCGGUGGGGGAUGGGCUCGCGGCCUAUCAGCUUGUUGGUGGGGUGAUGGCCUACCAAGGCGGUGACGGGUAGCCGGCCUGAGAGGGUGGACGGUCACACUGGGACUGAGACACGGCCCAGACUCCUACGGGAGGCAGCAGUGGGGAAUAUUGCACAAUGGGCGCAAGCCUGAUGCAGCGACGCCGCGUGAGGGAUGGAGGCCUUCGGGUUGUAAACCUCUUUCGCCAGUGAAGCAGGCCUGCCUCGUUUGUGGGUGGGUUGACGGUAGCUGGAUAAGAAGCGCCGGCUAACUACGUG